UCUCUCUCUCUCUCUCUCUCUCUCUCUCUCUCUCUCUCCCUCCCUCCUUAUUCUAGCUUUGUUAGCAGAGAUGGCUCAAACGUGUCCCAACCCUGCUCAAGAAUGUUUCCAAAACCCUACUCAAGGAGAAUCAUGUGACAACCAAGUCCAUCACGGAGCAAGGGAGGCUCGCAAAGGUCCCCUUACGGCAUGUUUCGGGACAUUGUGUUGCUGUUGCACUUGUUGCACUAAAACUUGCCGCGUACUUAAGUUUUUCUCUUGUAUUUGUGGCUUUCCUACUUGUUGCAUCUGACGGCAACAGAUCCCUUCUUGUUAUGGUGGUGCCCCCGUUGCGUGGUCUUUGAUUUCUACUUAAUUCCAUACCUUAUUACUCCGUCCGUCACAAUUUAAAUGUCUCUACAGGAGAUCGUAUAAUUUUGUACCUAAAAAAUAAAGUCCUUGCGGAAUUAAUUUUUAAUUUUUUUUCGCACCGUUCAAAGGCUUUCAGUGAGUACUUCCUAAUAGUGCAAAAAUUUUGGAAAAAUAUUACCAAAAGUACGAUUUUUAUGAGGUCAAAGUUACACGAUCUUCCAUAGUAAACAUUUAAAUUGGAAGAAAUGGAGUAUAUCCUUAUUAUAUAGACAUAAUAAAAUGUUGAUUAGCCGUUCAUGUCAUGUGGGGGUGCGCUAAAACUGUAAUGCUUAUUCAUGUGUGAGUGUGACCAUUUGAAUUGGAACAGAGGGAGUAUAUCCUUUUUCUCCAU